UACGUAGGGUGCGAGCGUUAAUCGGAAUUACUGGGCGUAAAGUGUGCGCAGGCGGCAGAGCAAGUCGAGUGUGAAAGCCCCGGGCUUAACUUGGGAAUUGCAGUCGAUACUACUCAGCUAGAGUAUGGGAGAGGGUAGUGGAAUUCCCGGUGUAGCGGUGAAAUGCGUAGAUAUCGGGAGGAACAUCAGUGGCGAAGGCGGCUACCUGGCCAAUACUGACCACUCAGGUGCGACAGCGUGGGAGCAAACAGGAUUGAGAUACCGAGUAG
rnacentral:rRNA from 1 species